UCACAGGUGACUGACCUACGCAGGCCUGUAGCCGCCACCCCCCCACAGGAGAUUAUGUGCUUGUGUUUUGCUUUUCUUCCCGGCACUACGCUGCCGGUGCGAACAGCCCAAGUAUUUAACAUGGGCUAACUUGACUAUUUUCAACAAGACUGCUGGAUAUACAAUGUUGGAAUAUUCAGUAUUUUGUGACUGGUUUCGCUUUAAGGAACGACACUGAGGAGUCGGACCUGCCCGCCCCGCAGACGAUCUUCGUAGCUAGCAGCUCCUCUCCUUGUCAACAGCAGGAGAUGAGCACCGCGACCAGCGGUCGUUAGCAGCUGCUCAAAGCCGACCGACGUGUAUGUUUUUCGGGGAUCGGAGCUAAGAACCAGCGGGUAAGAAGGAUCGAGCUCGAUUUAGCUUAUUUCCAAUCAAACCGAGGGGUGACACGUGGGUUUGAGCUAGCUCGGUUAGCUGGUGGGACUAGCUACUGAUAGCAUGCAGGGAUUCAUGUUUAUGUCUGGGCUUUUUCUAAGAGAUCGUGUGGAGUCGAGCUAAUUUCUGAAAAGUGUCAGCGCGUUGAAAGAGGAGACAUGAAACAAACUUGCUUCUGUUCUGACUGUUUCCCUCCUGGCUGCCAGUUGAUCAGCUGCAAUGGGUUUCCCCUCUUGUAACUCAAAGCACACAUGCUUUAUUUGCACUGACAGCCAUUGCGUUUGCAACAAGAUUUUUCUGACACUUUUCAGAAAUUAGCUCGACUCCACACGAUCUCUUAGAAAAAGCCCAGAGAUAAACAACAUUGUGUUGGAGGUCUGCAUCCAGGAGUGACAGCAGCAAGUACGCCCUGCGCCUGUGCAGGUCUACGUCAGUGUCCCUGUUCAUGCUUGUGAGCACUGCAAAGUCUUUUCAUUGUGUUGCAUGCUUUGUGCACAUUAGUGUCGUUGUGUGUUAUAUCCAGAGCAACGUCACACACAUGGUUUGAGAAAGCAAAAGGAAUCAUGCUAAUAAUGUCAAUGGUCACAUUCAGGAUUUUUCAUGGAUUAAACAAUUUGGGUUUGAUUAUAAAAUUCCAUGGAUUAAAGACUUUUUCUCAUUUGUAACAUUUCAAAACAGAUCUUACUCUGGAAUAUUGUGCCUACAUGUUAAAACAAACUGUGCCAUUGUGUCUGUGUGUUCAUUAGUAGGUGCAGUUUGAGCCAGCUUAGUUUACUUGAAUGGUCUUUAUAUCGAGGGAGGAAUGGAGAUCGUUGUCUGAGCCUCCAUCGUUGUUAAUCUGGCAGCAGGAUGAUUCUGAUGAUGAAGAGUGGAGGACACGUUAGUCCAAUUUAACAGAGCAGAAAAGGGAAGAGAGAUCGAUGCACAGAGCUUUGUGUGACCCCGGACAGAAAUAGGCAUGUAGAAUUAUUAAUAACUAUUAAUAUAUGCUAUAAAUUAUUUAAUUUAAUGUAUAUAUUAAUUUAAAUUAUUUAAUAUAUUCAUUAUUUCAGUUCCACAAAAAACUGAACUGUCCUUGUACUGUUCCUCGAGAAAAAAAAUGAUAUAUAUAAUUAUAGUAAUUGAUAAUUCAUAGAGAUUGAUUGCUCCUUCAGUUCCCACUUUUGUCCACAAGGUGGCCGUAUUGUACUGCUCACCUUGAGCUGAUGUUGUGAUCUGACCAGGAUAUUAUUAUGAUGAUUAUUAUUAUUAUAACCAUAAUUACCAUUAUUGGUAUGUUAUAUCACUAUCUAUCUAUCUAUCUAUCUAUCUAUCUUCCUAAAUUGUUAUCAUGGUUUGGAGAAAAGAUUAAUACUUUUUUUUACAUAUAUGUGUAACAGGGUCAAUUCUUAAUAUAGUUUAGCAGUGUUAUUUUCGCCAUUCUGCUGAAUUCUGUCUUAAUUAACCUGACAGGACGGUGAUUCCUUUAGGCUGCAGGGAUUUGGCGAAGUCUAUUUAGGGACACCGUAGCUCUCCCCCUCUCCCUCUCUCUCCCCACUGCUGGUCCUGUGUGUGUGUGAGGAAGGUAGUGUGGCCCCGGCAGGUGCGGACUCAAAUUGUUUGUUGAAAGUAACUUUAAUGUUAACGGAGAUCACGCAGAAAACCUUCUGCAAACAUUAACCUUUAUUCUCUCCAUAGAGCCAGCGUACAGCUGUGUGUGUGUGUGCUUGUGGGUGAGACGGUAUCAGCAUCGGCAUAAACGCACGCUGUAAUCUCCAGUCAUAAGAAUAAUACUUUAAUUGUCGUCAGGACAAUAAGGACGGCGUGGAUCCCUGCGUUGUUUUAAUGAAUUAAAGGUAUGACAUAAUGAUGUGUUUUGUUUGUAAAUGUUUUUAAACAUUUUGAUAAACUGGUUUAAAUUGUGUGACCUAAAUACAACCUGUUUGUUUUAUAGGGCUGCCUUCAGCAGGAUAUUUACGGUCACUGUUUCUUCCCACAUUUAGAUUUAUUUUAGAUUUUUUGGCCUUGUUUAGAUUUAGUUUAUUUUAGAUUAAUUGGUUUGAUUAUUGGUUUCUUGGUUUCUAUUUUAUUUUGUUCUCUGGCAAUGUGCAAUAUGGUUGACUGGUACUGUUCAAUCCAGGUGUAAUGACUUCAAUAGUGGUGAGUUAUUGGCUCCAUAAACUAGAGGCCCUCUUCUGUAAUUUUAUUGUAUUAUAUCGCUUGCAGUGUUUCGUAGAGUGUGCUGUGUUUGUUUUAACGCAUGAUAUUUUAGCGUUUUAAAGUUGGGUCAUGAGCCUUUAUUUCUCUCUUUUUAAUCUGUUAUUUGUAUCAAGUCCAGGUGAGUACGUCAACCUUUGCACAUGUCACUGUGCUGUUUGAUCAGUCUUUUUACAUCAUUUGCACGAAUUAAAUAAAUUGUAUAUUUCUGAAA